CCAAUUUAUUUAUACAACAUAAAAUAAUAUAUAUCUUUGUUUAAUACAUGUCAAUAUAUAUUUUAUUUUUUAUAUUAUUUAAACAACACAUUCAAAAACACCAAUAUUUAAAAAACAUAAAAAUAAAAUCAAAGUUUAAAGUAUAAAAAUAAAAACCCUGGCAAUAACCUACUCUCCCGCGA
rnacentral:misc_RNA from 1 species